rnacentral:rRNA from 1 species
GUUGUAUAGUCAAGUAAUUAAGUGCAUGUGGUGGAUGCCUUGGCAGUCAGAGGCGAUGAAAGACGUGAUAGCCUGCGAAAAGCUCCGGGGAGGCGGCAAAUAUCCUUUGAUCCGGAGAUGUCUGAAUGGGGGAACCCACCUACUUUAAGGUAGGUAUUGCAACAUGAAUACAUAGUGUUGCAAGGCGAACGAGGGGAAGUGAAACAUCUCAGUACCCUUAGGAAAAGAAAUCAAUUGAGAUUCCCUCAGUAGCGGCGAGCGAACGGGGAUCAGCCCAUUAAGUUAUGUGUGUUUUAGUGGAACGCUCUGGGAAGUGCGAACGUAGAGGGUGAUAUUCCCGUACACGAAAGGGCACACAUAAUGAUGACGAGUAGGGCGAGGCACGUGAAACCUUGUCUGAAUAUGGGGGGACCAUCCUCCAAGGCUAAAUACUCCUGACUGACCGAUAGUGAACCAGUACCGUGAGGGAAAGGCGAAAAGAACCCCUGUGAGGGGAGUGAAAUAGAUCCUGAAACCGCAUGCAUACAAGCAGUGGGAGCACCUUCGUGGUGUGACUGCGUACCUUUUGUAUAAUGGGUCAGCGACUUAUAUUCAGUAGCGAGGUUAACCGUAUAGGGGAGCCGUAGAGAAAUCGAGUCUUAAUAGGGCGUUUAGUUGCUGGGUAUAGACCCGAAACCAGGCGAUCUAUCCAUGAGCAGGUUGAAGGUUGGGUAACACUAACUGGAGGACCGAACCCACUGUCGUUGAAAAGCCAGGGGAUGACUUGUGGAUAGGGGUGAAAGGCUAAUCAAGCCUGGUGAUAGCUGGUUCUCCCCGAAAGCUAUUUAGGUAGCGCCUCGGACGAAUACCAUAGGGGGUAGAGCACUGUUUCGGCUAGGGGGUCAUCCCGACUUACCAAACCGAUGCAAACUCCGAAUACCUAUGAGUACUAUCCGGGAGACAGACUGCGGGUGCUAACGUCCGUAGUCAAGAGGAAAACAAUCCAGACCGCCAGCUAAGGCCCCAAAAUCAUAGUUAAGUGGGAAACGAUGUGGGAAGGCAUAGACAGCUAGGAGGUUGGCUUANNNNNNNNNNNNNNNNNNNNNNNGAAGCAGCCACCCUUUAAAGAAAGCGUAAUAGCUCACUAGUCGAGUCGGCCUGCGCGGAAGAUGUAACGGGGCUAAAACUAUGUGCCGAAGCUGCGGAUGUAUACUUUGUAUACGUGGUAGGGGAGCGUUCUGUAAGCCGAUGAAGGUGUGUUGAGAAGCNNNNNNNNNNNNNNNNNNAUGCUGGAGGUAUCAGAAGUGCGAAUGCUGACGUGAGUAACGACAAAACGGGUGAAAAACCCGUUCGCCGAAAGACCAAGGGUUCCAGUCCAACGUUAAUCGGGGCUGGGUGAGUCGACCCCUAAGGCGAGGCCGAAAGGCGUAGUCGAUGGGAAAAUGGUUAAUAUUCCAUUACUUCUGUGUAAUGCGAUGAGAGGACGGAGAAGGCUAAAUCAGCCUGGCGUUGGUUGUCCAGGUGAAAGGAUGUAGGCAUGUAUCUUAGGCAAAUCCGGGGUACUCUAUGCUGAGAUCUGAUAGCAAGCUGUACUUGUACAGCGAAGUGGUUGAUGCCAUGCUUCCAGGAAAAGUCUCUAAGCUUCAGUUACACAGGAAUCGUACCCGAAACCGACACAGGUGGUCAGGUCGAGUAGACCAAGGCGCUUGAGAGAACUCUGCUGAAGGAACUAGGCAAAAUGGUACCGUAACUUCGGGAGAAGGUACGCUGUUGUUGGUGAUGGAACUCGCUUCCUGAGCUGACGACAGCCGCAGAAACCAGGCCGCUGCAACUGUUUAUUAAAAACAUAGCACUCUGCAAACACGAAAGUGGACGUAUAGGGUGUGAUGCCUGCCCGGUGCUGGAAGGUUAAUUGAUGGGGUUAGCGUAAGCGAAGCUCUUGAUCGAAGCCCCAGUAAACGGCGGCCGUAACUAUAACGGUCCUAAGGUAGCGAAAUUCCUUGUCGGGUAAGUUCCGACCUGCACGAAUGGCAUAAUGAUGGCGGCGCUGUCUCCAGCAGAGGCUCAGUGAAAUCGAAAUCGCUGUGAAGAUGCAGUGUACCCGCGGCUAGACGGAAAGACCCCGUGAACCUUUACUGCAGCUUGACACUGAACUUUGACCUUACUUGUGUAGGAUAGGUGGGAGGCUUUGAAGCUGGAACGCUAGUUCCAGUGGAGCCGUCCUUGAAAUACCACCCUGGUAAUGUUGAGGUUCUAACUCUGUCCCGUGAUCCGGGACGAGGACCGUGUCUGGUGGGUAGUUUGACUGGGGCGGUCUCCUCCUAAAGAGUAACGGAGGAGUACGAAGGUGCGCUCAGCGUGGUCGGAAAUCACGCGUAGAGUAUAAAGGCAAAAGCGCGCUUAACUGCGAGACCCACAAGUCGAGCAGGUACGAAAGUAGGUCUUAGUGAUCCGGUGGUUCUGUAUGGAAGGGCCAUCGCUCAACGGAUAAAAGGUACUCUGGGGAUAACAGGCUGAUACCGCCCAAGAGUUCAUAUCGACGGCGGUGUUUGGCACCUCGAUGUCGGCUCAUCUCAUCCUGGGGCUGAAGCAGGUCCCAAGGGUAUGGCUGUUCGCCAUUUAAAGAGGUACGCGAGCUGGGUUUAGAACGUCGUGAGACAGUUCGGUCCCUAUCUACCGUGGGCGCUGGAAAUUUGAGAGGAUCUGCUCCUAGUACGAGAGGACCAGAGUGGACGAACCUCUGGUGUACCGGUUGUGACGCCAGUCGCAUCGCCGGGUAGCUAUGUUCGGAAGGGAUAACCGCUGAAAGCAUCUAAGCGGGAAGCCUACCUCAAGAUAAGAUUUCCCUAGGACUUUAUGUCCUCUAAAGAGCCGUUCGAGACUAGGACGUUGAUAGGUUGGAUGUGGAAGCAUAGUGAUAUGUGAAGCUGACCAAUACUAAUUGCUCGUGAGGCUUGACUAUACAACACCCAAGCAGUUG